CAGUCUGGUGCCAGCAGCCGCGGUAAUUCCAGCUCCAAUAGCGUAUAUUAAAGUUGUUGCCGUUAAAAAGCUCGUAGUUGAACCUUGGGCCUGGCUGAUCUGUCCUCCUAAUCGAGCGCACGGAUUCGGUCGGGCCUUUCCUUCUGGGGAGCCCGAUGUCCUUCACUGGGCGUCGUGGGGAACCAGGACUUUUACCUUGAAAAAAUUAGAGUGUUCAAAGCAGGCCUUUGCUCGAAUACAUUAGCAUGGAAUAAUAGAAUAGGACAGAGGUUCUAUUUUGUUGGUUUCUAGGACCGCUGUAAUGAUUAAUAGGGAUAGUCGGGGGCGUCCGUAUUCAAUUGUCAGAGGUGAAAUUCUUGGAUUUAUUGAAGACGAACUACUGCGAAAGCAUUCGCCAAGGAUGUUUUCAUUAAUCAGUGAACGAAAGUUAGGGGAUCGAAGACGAUCAGAUACCGUCGUAGUCUUAACCAUAAACUAUGCCGACUAGGGAUCGGACGGUGGUUUUUUUAUGCCCCGUUCGGCGCCU
rnacentral:rRNA from 1 species